UUGCGGCCAUGUUAUGUUGAAACACUGGUUCUCGUAUGAUCAGCGAAGUUAAGCAACGUCGAGCCGUUCAGUAUGGGUGACCGUUUGGGAAUACCAGGUGAUG